rnacentral:rRNA from 1 species
UACGUAGGGGGCUAGCGUUGUCCGGAUUUAUUGGGCGUAAAGAGCGCGUAGGCGGCCGAGUAAGUCCGACGUGAAAUCUGGAGGCUCAACCUCCAGCGGUCGUUGGAAACUACUCGGCUAGAGUCCGGAAGAGGAGAGUGGAAUUCCUGGUGUAGCGGUGAAAUGCGCAGAUAUCAGGAAGAACACCGAUGGCGAAGGCGGCCAUCUGGGACAACACUGACGCUGAAGCACGAAAGCGUGGGGAGCAAACAGG